rnacentral:rRNA from 1 species
AUUGAACGCUGGCGGCAGGCCUAACACAUGCAAGUCGAACGGUAGCACAGAGAGCUUGCUCUCGGGUGACGAGUGGCGGACGGGUGAGUGAUGUCUGGGAAACUGCCCGAUGGAGGGGGAUAACUACUGGAAACGGUAGCUAAUACCGCAUAACGUCUUCGGACCAAAGUGGGGGACCUUCGGGCCUCACACCAUCGGAUGUGCCCAGAUGGGAUUAGCUAGUAGGUGGGGUAAUGGCUCACCUAGGCGACGAUCCCUAGCUGGUCUGAGAGGAUGACCAGCCACACUGGAACUGAGACACGGUCCAGACUCCUACGGGAGGCAGCAGUGGGGAAUAUUGCACAAUGGGCGCAAGCCUGAUGCAGCCAUGCCGCGUGUAUGAAGAAGGCCUUCGGGUUGUAAAGUACUUUCAGCGGGGAGGAAGGCGGUGAAGUUAAUAGCUUCAUCGAUUGACGUUACCCGCAGAAGAAGCACCGGCUAACUCCGUGCCAGCAGCCGCAGUAA